AUUGAACGCUGGCGGCAGGCCUAACACAUGCAAGUCGAACGAGUGGCGGACGGGUGAGUAAUGUCUGGGAAACUGCCUGAUGGAGGGGGAUAACUACUGGAAACGGUAGCUAAUACCGCAUACCAUCGGGUGUACCCAGGUGGGAUUAGCUAGUUGGUGGGGUAACGGCUCACCAAGGAGACGAUCCCUAGCUGGUCUGAGAGGAUGACCAGCCACACUGGAACUGAGACACGGUCCAGACUCGUACGGGAGGCAGCAGUGGGGAAUAUUGCACAAUGGGCGCAAGCCUGAUGCAGCCAUGCCGCGUGUAUGAAGAAGGCCUUCGGGUUGUAAAGUACUUUCAGCGGGGAGGCGUUACCCGCAGAAGAAGCACCGGCUAACUCCGGGCCAGCAGCCGCGGUAAUUC
rnacentral:rRNA from 1 species